rnacentral:rRNA from 1 species
UACGGGAGGCAGCAGUGGGGAAUUUUGGACAAUGGGCGCAAGCCUGAUCCAGCAAUGCCGCGUGCAGGAUGAAGGCCUUCGGGUUGUAAACUGCUUUUGUACGGAACGAAAAGCCUUGGGUUAAUACCCUGGGGUCAUGACGGUACCGUAAGAAUAAGCACCGGCUAACUACGUGCCAGCAGCCGCGGUAAUACGUAGGGUGCAAGCGUUAAUCGGAAUUACUGGGCGUAAAGCGUGCGCAGGCGGUUUUGUAAGACAGAGGUGAAAUCCCCGGGCUCAACCUGGGAACUGCCUUUGUGACUGCAAGGCUAGAGUACGGCAGAGGGGGAUGGAAUUCCGCGUGUAGCAGUGAAAUGCGUAGAUAUGCGGAGGAACACCGAUGGCGAAGGCAAUCCCCUGGGCCUGUACUGACGCUCAUGCACGAAAGCGUGGGGAGCAAACAGGAUUAGAUACCCUGGUAGUCCACGCCCUAAACGAUGUCAACUGGUUGUUGGGUCU